GAAUUAAGUAAUCAGUACUGUGUGAUAACGAUCUAUUUUAAGUUUAAUUGAAUUUAACAUAACAGGAGGUAAUGGUGGAUCUUCAAGGACGUGUUACAGACCUGACGUCAUUUGUUUUUGUGCUGGAGUUUUAAUGGAAUGUGUUAUUUUAAGAUGUUGAUACAUACAUUGGGCAUUUUAUAAUUUUAUUGUCAUUUUUUUAUACCUACCCAAUAAACAGCGCUAUGAGAACCAUUAGAAGUAAAUUCAAUAAAUACGUGACUAAUUGUUAUGAGACUUCAACUGGGAAGCUUGAAGUAGUGCUUAAACUUAAGAAGAUUAGAUUUAAUAAUGCCUUUCAUAAGUAGCUACCUUAUUGAUUAGAAAAUCAAAUGUAACGCAUGCGUCAAUUUUGUAUCAAACGCGCUUGUCCUUAACGGAUGCGUGCAUAAAAAUGGCGCCAAGGGUAGAUGAUCGAUUUUAUUUAGUAACAUUUUUAGUGCAAUUAACAAAAUACAAUGCAAAAUUUAACAACUGCUUACGCUAAUUGUGGACGGAUGAUUCCAGAAUAACUACAAACAUUAACUUAGCAAGGGUGUUUAUGGUCUGUCGCCUACUAUUUCUAUAGUUCACGUCUUUGAAGAAAGCAAACUGUGAAUUUUCUGGCGCAGGAUAAAAUUGGAAUUGUAAGCAUCUUCUGCAUUUCGGGAAGAAUGUCACUUCCGGGAUAUCCAUGACGGAGAAAUGAAUAGAAGAUAUAGGUAUGAGGAGAACUUAUAACAAAUGUAAUUGAUCGUCAGGAGCAAUGAAGAUACCGAGCCGAUAUUUACUAUUUGUAUUCAGUUAGCAGAAACGUGGGAGAGACUAAAAGCAAUGGGGGCUGCUACUGCUCAUUGUGACGUCAUAGCCCUCCCUAAAAUCCUGACAUACGCACAUGAUGGAGGUACAGAAGCUGUCAAGAGAUUAUGUUUGGCCGCCUUUUUCAUCAUGGCCGUUAUGGUUCCAUUGAAUAUUAUACAAAAGAGAUUUGUUCCUCUUGUAAACAAUACCUACCUACCUACUAAACAUGAAUGGAGAAGUAUUUUCUUAUAGGGUUGGGAACACGCUUACUACCCUCCUUCUUGCAGAACACCUGCUCAUCAGUAGUGGAGACGUUCAAGAUCAACAAUCUAGACACGUUUAACUUACUGUACUUUUUUAUUGUAUAGUUAGGUAGUUGCAUAACAUUUUACUAAUGCAUUAGUAGCUAGAUAUACUGUACCUACUGUCGGUAUUGAUUUUUUAAUACCACCCAAAGUUAUUGUAUGUAGUUAUAUCGCUAUAUUCUAUCUUUUGGAACAUAAUGCAAUAAUGUCUCGUCCGGUUUUAGGCUAGGACAACGAACAUUGCAACGUACCAAAUCACAAUUUGUAUAUAAUAACAUAAUUAAUUAGUGGUGGUAUCAAUUUGCAAAUUAUGUACUGUGACGUGGUAUCUAAAGGGCGUCAUACACAUUAAGUUUAAGGGAAACAUACCUAAUCUAUAUGACAUUCUAGAACCUACAAAAUGGCGGAAAGUACGGGGUGACCAAAUGAGAAUGAUGUGGCGCUCAAAUUAUCCUAGCGGGUCGUAAAUCUUUGGAGUGAAACAUUUUUUAAAUAAACGGGAGUAAACGAGCAUGCUUGAAGUUAUACGGCAACCACUAAGGAGCGGCACACGAAUUCUAAAACAGGGAAAACCGAGGGGAAAAUGCUCCUACGUAUUUUUUUUGUUAAACUUUUAAAAUUUUUUAAACUUGUAAAAUAAGAGGAGAAAUUGUAGUCACAAAAAAUUCUACCAAAUUUUUCCUACUUCAUAGAUUUCGAAAAACUUACCAGAUAUCGUUUAACAAUCAAUACACCGGUGUUUCCAAGAGCGUGACUAGAGUAUUAAUUUAGAUCCGGUAUCGCGGUUUAGAGUGAUUUUUGACUGUAUCUCCAAAAAAUUUAAGUCGGACUUUUUUUAUUGUUACCUAUACAGUGCGUUCAAGAUAAGAGGGUAACCUCAAGAUCUCUUUUAUUUGGCAAGAUACGAAAAAUGUGUCAUUUAUAAUUGUAUAUGUGACAUUACGAUCUAUCUGAUCGAAUAUUUAAACUUCCGGUAGCACUUUCGGCUUAACCG